rnacentral:rRNA from 1 species
GUGUCAGCAGCCGCGGUAAUACGAAGGUCCCAAGCGUUAUCCGGAUUUAUUGGGUUUAAAGGGUGCGUAGGCGGACUGUUAAGUCAGUGGUGAAAGCUCCAUGCCUAACAUGGAAAUUGCCAUUGAUACUGACGGUCUUGAGUACAUUUGAAGUGGGCGGAAUGUGUCAUGUAGCGGUGAAAUGCUUAGAUAUGACACAGAACACCGAUUGCGUAGGCAGCUCACUAAACUGUAACUGACGCUGAGGCACGAAAGCGUGGGGAGCAAACAGGAUUAGAUACCCCCGUAGUCC